GGACAAUCCACCUGUAGGUUACCUUUGGCACAGGACUUGUUGCGAUCCACAGCGAAUAGGACACGUACGUGGCAGAAUAUCAUGAACGAGAAGCGCAGGGAACUGGCAAAUCAGGACCUGGUCAUUAGAUUGACAAAUUACACCGCUGACACAACAGGGUCAAAGG